GUCUUGUUAUGGUAGAGUCUGAGAGUUGCAAGUCCCUUAAUUUGCUUUAAAAUAGUUUCCUUGUUUGUGAAAUCAGUGUACAAUACUUUGGCUGAGGCCAAAAUACAAUCAUUUGACAAUCUCCUCGUCUGUGAAGGCCUUCUUGUUUCUCGCGAGUAUCCAAGCAAUCUCAUAUGUUGGCUUUGUCGUUUUCUCUGCAACAGUGCUAGAUCCUUCCAUCAUUUGUUGUUGUCCUUUUAGGUGUCCUUUGAGGUGUCCUUUGAGCUGUCCUUUGAGCUGUCCUUUGAGGUGUCCUUUGAGGUGUCCUUUGAGCUGUCCUUUGAGGUGUCCUUUGAGGUGUCCUUUGAGCUGUCCUUUGAGGUGUCCUUUGAGGUGUCCUUUGAGCUGUCCUUUGAGGUGUCCUUUGAGGUGUCCUUUGAGCUGUCCUUUGAGGUGUCCUUUGAGCUGUCCUUUGAGCUGUCCUUUGAGGUGUCCUUUGAGCUGUCCUUUGAGC
ensembl:lncRNA